CCUGUACACGGCUACUUACAU
rnacentral:miRNA from 15 species